GGUGGGGUGCCCGAGUGGCCAAAGGGAGCAGACUGUAAAUCUGCCGGCGUCAGCCUACGAAGGUUCGAAUCCUUCCCCCACCA
rfam:Gemmatimonadetes bacterium 13_1_40CM_4_69_5 13_1_40cm_4_scaffold_609, whole genome shotgun sequence.